rnacentral:rRNA from 1 species
UACGGGGGGGGCAAGCGUUGUUCGGAAUUACUGGGCGUAAAGGGCUCGUAGGCGGCCAACUAAGUCGGAUGUGAAAUCCCCAGGCUCAACUUGGGAACUGCAUCCGAUACUGGAUGGCUUGAAUUCGGGAGAGGGAUGCAGAAUUCCAGGUGUAGCGGUGAAAUGCGUAGAUAUCUGGAGGAAUACCGGUGGCGAAGGCGGCUCUCUGGGACGGUACUGACGCUGAGACGCGAAAGCGUGGGGGAGCAAACAGG